GUGGGGAAUAUUGCACAAUGGAGGAAACUCUGAUGCAGCGACGCCGCGUGAAGGAUGAAGUAUUUCGGUAUGUAAACUUCUAUCAGCAGGGAAGAAAAUGACGGUACCUGACUAAGAAGCCCCGGCUAACUACGUGCCAGCAGCCGCGGUAAUACGUAGGGGGCAAGCGUUAUCCGGAUUUACUGGGUGUAAAGGGAGCGUAGACGGAAUGGCAAGUCUGAUGUGAAAGGCCGGGGCUCAACCCCGGGACUGCAUUGGAAACUGUCAAUCUAGAGUACCGGAGGGGUAAGUGGAAUUCCUAGUGUAGCGGUGAAAUGCGUAGAUAUUAGGAGGAACACCAGUGGCGAAGGCGGCUUACUGGACGGUAACUGACGUUGAGGCUCGAAAGCGUGGGGAGCAAACAGGA
rnacentral:rRNA from 1 species